GGCUCGGUGGCGGAUGGUUCGCGUUUGUAUUAUGUGGCGCGGAAUCCUGGUUACAUCAAGCAGAAGCUGCUCGUUCGAUUCGAGCCCGGGCCC